UUUUUAGUGAAAGUAUGCCCCAUGAAAUAUUUGGGAUAUACUUAUGCUAAAA
rfam:Myotis lucifugus cont2.40463, whole genome shotgun sequence.